UACAGAGGGGGCCAGCGUUAUUCGGAAUUAUUGGGCGUAAAGAGCUCGUAGGCGGCUUAGUAAGUCGGGUGUGAAACCUCCAGGCUCAACCUGGAGACGCCACCCGAUACUGCUAUAGCUAGAGUCCAGUAGGGGAGUGCGGAAUUCCCGGUGUAGCGGUGAAAUGCGCAGAUAUCGGGAGGAACACCAGCGGCGAAGGCGGCACUCUGGGCUGGUACUGACGCUCAGGAGCGAAAGCGUGGGUAGCGAACAGG
rnacentral:rRNA from 1 species